rnacentral:rRNA from 1 species
AUACGAAUCGUCCAAACGUUAUUCGGAAUCACUGGGCUUAAAGGGUGCGCAGGCUGUUUUUUAAGUAGGAUGUGAAAUCCCUCAGCUUAACUGAGGAACUGCAUCCUAUACUGGGAGGCUAGAGUAAGAUAGAGGGGAACGGAACCGAUGGUGGAGCGGUGAAAUGCGUUGAUAUUAUCGGGAACACCAGUAGCGAAAGCGGUUCACUGGGUCUUAACUGACGCUCAUGCACGAAAGCCAGGGUAGCAAACGGGAUUAGAUACCCCGGUAGUCCAAACUGUAAAUUAUGCUUGCUAGGUGUUUCGAUCCUUGUGGUCGGAGUGCCGUAAUCUAACGAGUUAAGCAAGUCGCCUGGGUAGUAUAUUCGCAAGAAUGAAACUCAAAUGAAUUGGCGGGG